UGAAACCUCACUGUCGCGCUUUCGCUUUUUCUCUCUCCGACUGUGGAAGCUUCUAGAGAGAGAAACUCAGACCUUCUCUGUAGAGUCCUCCGAGUCCUCAGACUUUCAAUUUUUUUGAACGAUGACGGGUUUAAGAAUUUCUAGGGUUUUCUGACGAACCGAUUUGUCCCAAAUCUCGAUGGAAAUGCCCGGUAGGAGAUCCAACUACAAGCUUCUGAGCCAAGUCCCCGACGACCAGACGGCGGCGUUUUACGAGACGGAGAGCAAGAACAAGGGGAAAUGCGACAGCGGGCUCGAUUGGGUAACCGGAGCCGAUUACCGGGCGAAUCAGCAAGCGAUUCGUGCCGGGAACCCGUACUCGUCGGCCUGGUUGCAGAGGCAGUCGAGUGGGUUCGGGUACGUGCCGGACGAUGUGUUCAAGGUUAGUGGUGUAGGGGGUGAAUUUCGAAUGAAGGGUGUGCAUGGAGCUGUUGCGGUCACCAGCGGUGGCGGCGGCUCGUCUUCUUGGAAGAGCUGGGCUCAGCAGACUGAGGAGAGUUAUCAGCUGCAGCUGGCUUUGGCUCUUCGGCUCUCAUCGGAGGCCACAUGCGCCGAUGAUCCUAACUUCUUGGAUCCAGUGCUCGAUGAAUCAAUGUCUAGGACAUGGGGCUCCGUUGACGCCAUUUCGCAUCGGUUUUGGGUGAAUGGCUGCCUGUCGUACUUUGACAAAGUGCCUGAUGGAUUUUACCUAAUUCAUGGAAUAGAUCAGUAUGUAUGGACUGUGUGCACUGAUCUGAAAGAAAAUGGUCGUAUACCAUCAAUUGAUUCAUUAAGGUCUGUUGAUCCUGGCAUUGGUUCAAGUAUUGAAGUGGUUUUAAUUGAUCGACGUAGUGAUCCCAGUCUAAAGGAGCUCCAAAAUAGGGUUUUAACCAUUUCUCGUACCUGCAUAACUAUGAAAGAGAUUGUAGAUCAGAUGGCAAAGCUUGUAUGCAGUCGCAUGGGGGGUUCAGCUUCUGUAGGAGAGGAUGAAAUAUUGUCCAUAUGGAGGGAGAGCAGUGAUGAUCUGAAAGAUUGCGGAUCUGUAGUUGUUCCAAUAGGCAGCCUUUCUGUUGGCCUAUGUAGACAUCGUGCUUUAUUAUUCAAAGUUCUGGCUGAUACAAUUGGUUUACCUUGUCGAAUUGCCAAAGGCUGUAAAUGUUGUACAAGGGAUAAUGCCUCCUCUUGUCUUGUUCGGUUUGAGAGGGACAGGGAGUAUUUAGUCGAUUUGAUUGCAAAUCCAGGUUACUUGUGCGAGCCUGAUUCCUUGCUCAAUGGCCCAUCAUCCAUCUCAAUUUCUUCACCGCUGCACUUUCCAAGACUAAAACCAGUUGAACCUACUAUUGAUUUCAGGUUACUGGCUAAUCAGUAUUUCUCGGACUGUCAAUCGCUUAAUCUUGUUUUUGAUGAAGCUUCUGCAGGAAGUGCUGUUGAUGAGGACAAUAUGUAUCCUAAACAAUUUGAUAGGAAGAGUACAGAGGGAAAAAACCUUUUUUCAAGUUUCAGUGGCUACACCUCUGCACACGCAGAAAUUCCUGAGACAAGUGGUGAUGAUAGAAAUCCCCAAUUGUUUAAUCGUUCUCAGAAUAUUGUGCACACACCACCCAUGGUAAAUGUUCCAAUCCCUCUAACGCAUAUGCCGCCUGUAGGGCAUAGAGAUGGCCCAAAGGUGGAUACAAUUACAGACUCAAGGUUUGUUGAGGGUGUUCGACUGGUUCCUAGUAAACCAAGUAAAGAGCUCGCACUCAAUGUAGGGAAUUUGGACAUCCCAUGGAGUGAUCUCGUAAUAAAAGAGAAAAUUGGUGCAGGUUCUUUUGGAACUGUUCAACGUGCUGAUUGGCAUGGCUCUGAUGUUGCUGUAAAGAUUCUUAUGGAGCAAGAUUUACAUGAAGAACACUUUAAAGAAUUUUUGAGUGAGGUUACUAUAAUGAAGGACCUGCGGCAUCCAAACAUUGUUCUCUUUAUGGGUGCAGUUACCAAGCCGCCAAACUUGUCCAUAGUCACGGAAUAUUUAUCAAGAGGUAGCUUGUUUACGCUUUUGCAGAAACCUGGUGCAAGGGAGGCAUUGGAUGAGAACAGCCGCUUGAAAAUGGCUCAUGAUGUGGCAAAGGGAAUGAAUUAUCUUCAUAGACACAAACCUCCCAUCGUUCAUCAUGAUUUAAAAUCUCCAAAUCUGUUGGUAGACAAACAUUAUACAGUGAAGGCUCACAGGAGUUUAAUUUUCAGUGGCUCGUGCUGGACUAUAAGUUAUGUAUUUGAAAAUGAACAUGACUAAGUGCGCCAACAUUUGUUUACUUACUGCAUCGUUUACACCAUUUUUCUUGCCUGUUUUGUGGUUUAGGUUUGCGAUUUUGGUCUUUCCCGUUCAAAGGCAAGCACCUUCCUUUCCCCAAAAUCAGCUGCUGGGACUGCUGAAUGGAUGGCACCAGAAGUCAUGCGUAAUGAACCGUCAAAUGAGAAGUCAGAUGUUUACAGUUUUGGUGUAAUAUUGUGGGAACUCGCAACAUUGCAACGGCCGUGGGGUAAUUUAAAUCCACUGCAGGUUGUCUCAGCUGUUGUGGUUUAUAACAAAAGGCUGGACAUUCCGCAUGAUGUGAAUCCACGUGUGGCGGCUAUAAUUGAGGCUUGCUGGGCCAACGAACCCUGGAAACGACCUUCAUUUGCUAGUAUCAUGGAAUCUUUGACGCCAUUGAUAAAAGAUCCUGUGACUCAACCUAGUCAUGCAAAUAUGCCAUUACUCACCUGAACGGGAACGAGUCUUAUUCAUGCACAUAAUACACCAUUCUUUAGAGAACCGAUGUGUGGCGGGCAUAUGUGCUGUUCAUAUUCUCGGGUAUGGCCAUUGCCUCAAUAUGUAUUCUUGGUUUUAGUUUGCUUGGUCAGUUUCCGGUCCAAUGAACUCGUAUGCAUAAUUUCCGAUGCUUGUUUGUACAUUUCUGUUCUUAUCGCCGAUUCAGCAUUUGGAUUCUUUAACCAAAUGAAGGAAACUAUGAGUGCCAACAGUGUCUGCAUUGCCGCCUCUUCUCGCCGUCAUGGGGAAGUUGUAUAAUUUCUGUUUCAUAAUUUUGUACAUAAAAGAGCGUUACUAGAAUCGAUUACAUCUUUCCUAGCAUGCUUUGUUUGGCACUUUAAUGACGUUGUACAAAAACGUGAAAGCUAGUCACUCAAUUAGCAGCAGGUUUUCGGUUGUUGCUACCCUAGUGAAAUUGAAGAAAACGAAAUUAGAAAGAGCUAAAUGCACAAAUCUUUUAGCGAUCUAAUUCGUCUUCGACAAUUUUCCA